ensembl:ncRNA mir-4980 mir-4980 stem loop
GAAGAGGCUGAGAGCGGGAAAGUGAGAAGUAGAGAGCGCAGAUAGGGAGUGGGAGCUUAUACCGUUAUAAAGCCAACUUCCGUUCUGCGUUUCGUUCCAACCCCCCACCUCUCUUUCCCUCU